UGCAAGUCGAGCGGAACGAGUUGUCUGAACCUUCGGGGAACGAUAACGGCGUCGAGCGGCGGACGGGUGAGUAAUGCCUGGGAAAUUGCCCUGAUGUGGGGGAUAACCAUUGGAAACGAUGGCUAAUACCGCAUAAUAGCUUCGGCUCAAAGAGGGGGACCUUCGGGCCUCUCGCGUCAGGAUAUGCCCAGGUGGGAUUAGCUAGUUGGUGAGGUAAGGGCUCACCAAGGCGACGAUCCCUAGCUGGUCUGAGAGGAUGAUCAGCCACACUGGAACUGAGACACGGUCCAGACUCCUACGGGAGGCAGCAGUGGGGAAUAUUGCACAAUGGGCGCAAGCCUGAUGCAGCCAUGCCGCGUGUAUGAAGAAGGCCUUCGGGUUGUAAAGUACUUUCAGCAGUGAGGAAGGUGGUGCAUUUAAUACGUGCAUCAUUUGACGUUAGCUGCAGAAGAAGCACCGGCUAACUCCGUGCCAGCAGCCGCGGUAAUACGGAGGGUGCGAGCGUUAAUCGGAAUUACUGGGCGUAAAGCGCAUGCAGGUGGUGUGUUAAGUCAGAUGUGAAAGCCCGGGGCUCAACCUCGGAAUUGCAUUUGAAACUGACAGACUAGAGUACUGUAGAGGGGGGUAGAAUUUCAGGUGUAGCGGUGAAAUGCGUAGAGAUCU
rnacentral:rRNA from 1 species